UACGUAGGGGGCAAGCGUUUGUCCGGAUUUAUUGGGCGUAAAAGGCUUGUAGGUGGCCACGCCAAGUCGGAUGUGAAAUCUCCCGGCUCAACUGGGAGGGGUCAUUCGAUACUGGUGGGCUCGAGGCCGGUAGGGGGAAGUGGAAUUCCCGGUGUAGUGGUGGAAUGCGUAGAUAUUGGGAGGAACACCAGUGGCGAAGGCGGCUCACUGGACCGGAACUGACGCUGAGGCGCGAAAGCGUGGGGAGCAAACGGG
rnacentral:rRNA from 1 species